GGGAACCAAUUAUUCCAUCUAAUAAUUUUGAUGUGCGGUAUACGAUUAAUGAAUAUACCAUAAUGCACAAAGAUGGAUUCCUCAAAGAAGUAGAGGAUGUAUGUUAGUUUUCCUAACAUAAGGGGGAGAUUAUAAGCGCUAUGAAAUAUGUUAGGAAUUAUCACCAGAUCCUCAUCCAAAAGAUAAUUCAAGUGAAAUGCCGAAAGCAUCUCAUAUUAAGCGCAAGUGCUCUUAUUUUGUGUUCCUAAAGGAUAAAGUCUAUGCAUGCGUGAAGCAUGGUAGACUAAUCGGUU
rnacentral:lncRNA from 1 species